AGCAGCCGCGGUAAUUCUAGCUCCAAUAGCGUAUAUUAAAGUUGUUGCAGUUAAAAAGCUCGUAGUUGAAUUUCGGGGUCAGUAGGUCGGUCGUGCCACUGGUAUGAACUGGUUUUACUGAUUCCUCCCUCUUGAAGAACUGUAAUGCCAUUAAUUUGGUGUUGCAGGGAAUCAGGACUGUUACUUUGAAAAAAUUGAGUGUUUAAAGCAGGCUUUAGCUUGAAUACAUUAGCAUGGAAUAAUGAAAUAGGACGUUUGAUCCUAUUUUGUUGGUUUCUAGGAUUGACGUAAUGAUUAAUAGGGAUAGUUGGGGGCAUUAGUAUUCAAUUGUCAGAGGUGAAAUUCUUGGAUUUAUUGAAGACUAACUACUGCGAAAGCAUUUGCCAAGGAUGUUUCAUUAAUCAAGAACGAAAGUUAGGGGAUCGAAGACGAUCAGAUACCGUCGUAGUCUUAACAUAAACUAUAGCCGACUAGGGAUCGGAUAGAUGUUAAUUUUUAAUGUACUCAUUCGGCGCCUUUA
rnacentral:rRNA from 1 species